AUUAAACAUGACCAUUGCUUCAGUUUAGAGUUCAUACUCUAUCUGAUUGGAUUUACUAAUUUAGGUUUUUCAUUUGAGAGGCUUGAUUCGAUUCUGGACUCAAGUUUGAUGCCUCCACGUGCAAUGUCUUGGGCUCAUUUAGGCUUGGAUGAUAUGAAGGAUUCAUGAGGCAUGGAUUCGGGAUUAGAAGUCUACUGAUUGCAUUUUGGUUUGGCAAGAAAAAAACUUAUGGAACUAUAGUUUCUCAACUGGCUUAUUAAUAAUUAAUAAUAUACAAAAAGAGGACGUACUUACAAGUGCUUCUUGGUUUUUAUUCUUUCAUUUUUUAGUUAUGUUGUUUAUGCUUUUAUUCUUUAGUUUCAAGCAGGUUGUUAUGCUAUCUAUGCCUAGUCCUUUCAUGGAUUGUGAGAAUUGCAUUGAUGGUAAAAGGGCUACAAGCUUUGUCAGUUUAAAGAAAAUCAGUUCCAGUCAUUAUUUCAUUUCGAAUGAUUUUUGGGGACCAUAGGAAAAUUUGUAGAGAGGUUUGUUUUGGCAGAAAUUUAAAAUUAUAAACCCGGUUUCUUCUUGGAACCAGGCUUAUGGUUUUUUAUUCCCUUAAUUAUCUCUAUUUAUAAGUCACUCUAUUGGGAUCUUGUAAUAAUUUAGUUUGUUUCCUUUUAUCCUUUGUUGUUGUUCUUACUGUUGCAUUGCAUACUACAAGCAUGUAUGGUUUAUGGCUCACUUUUCUGGAACAUAUUGUAAAAUUGCAACUACAAAGAGUUUAUUUUUAAUGGGAGCA